rnacentral:rRNA from 1 species
UACGGAGGGGGCGAGCGUUAUUCGGAAUUAUUGGGCGUAAAGGGCGCGUAGGCGGCUGUACAAGUCAAAGGUGAAAUCCCUCGGCUCAACUGAGGAACUGCCUUUGAAACUGUACGGCUUGAGGCCGGGAGGGGUAGCGGAAUUCCCAAUGUAGCGGUGAAAUGCGUAGAUAUUGGGAGGAACACCAGUGGCGAAGGGCGGACUACCUGGACCGGUUCUGACGCUGACGGCGGCG